rnacentral:rRNA from 1 species
AGCGAACGCUGGCGGCAGGCUUAACACAUGCAAGUCGAACGGGCAUCUUCGGAUGUCAGUGGCAGACGGGUGAGUAACACGUGGGAACGUACCCUUCGGUUCGGAAUAACUCAGGGAAACUUGAGCUAAUACCGGAUACGCCCUUUUGGGGAAAGGUUUACUGCCGAAGGAUCGGCCCGCGUCUGAUUAGCUUGUUGGUGGGGUAACGGCCUACCAAGGCGACGAUCAGUAGCUGGUCUGAGAGGAUGAUCAGCCACACUGGGACUGAGACACGGCCCAAACUCCUACGGGAGGCAGCAGUGGGGAAUAUUGGACAAUGGGCGCAAGCCUGAUCCAGCCAUGCCGCGUGAGUGAUGAAGGCCUUAGGGUUGUAAAGCUCUUUUGUCCGGGACGAUAAUGACGGUACCGGAAGAAUAAGCCCCGGCUAACUUCGUG